rnacentral:lncRNA from 1 species
UUCACACCUGCGAGGGCAGAUGCAUUCCCAAGCACAGGCUGUGAGUCUCCAAGGGUCCUGGCCACAUCACCGGGCUGCAGAGUGUCCUGGAGGGAGAAUCCUUGACCAGCCUCCAGGAGGCUCUCACUGAAUGAAGCCCUGCUAAGUGCCAGGAAGUUGGGUGACCCUCAGACUCUCCUUCCUGGCUGCCUGGAAUGGGACUGUGAUAGUCAGAGGGCCCUUGGAUGGCAUCAGAGCUUACAGGGUGCCCCGACCGGUGAUGAACCAUGAGAGACCUUCUAGCAGUACCGUGCUGGCCGCCUUCGCUUCUCAGCUGCCCCUCGGGGCAUGUUGUGCCCCACCGGGAGCCAUGGAGGGAAGCUGUGGGAAUGUCCACCUCUGCGUCCUGUCCUGUCAAGGUCCUGGGUCUCUCCCAAGCUGGAUCUAGGUGGUCCCUGGGCUCAGGCUGUGGGAAAGAAAGCCUGGGAUGGGAGUGGGGGCCAUUCGCAGGUCUUUUGUUCUGCCACGAAGACCCGAACCCUCUUCAGAUCCCAGCCUGUCCUUCCCAUGUCGUAAGGGCCCCAAACCAAAGGGGGCCCUCAGACUUGGGUCAGACACACAGGGUCUGGUGUCCAUGCUCAGCAGCGAUGGCUCCUCGGGCAGCUGGCUCAGGUACUCCAAGCCUCCGUUUUUGUGUUUGCAAAUGGGAAUGCCGUUCAGAAUUCCAGAAGCUAGGCACGGGGGCCCAGAAGUGGAUUCCAGGGUCCCUGCCCUGGGGGAGCCCAGUCCGGCCAAGGGAACAGCUGUGUCUGGAGAAGCAGUGUACUCUCUGGGGCACCCAGCACAUGAGGGCACCGUCCUGGAGACCAGAAUUCCGGACAGCGCUGGCAGCAACAGUCCCAGCCUCUGAGGAGCCUGGGUGCAGCAGGAGCGAUGCCAGAUCCAGACCAGGAGCGGAGACCGAGUCGCAGGGUUGGUUCUGGGGACCACAAGUCUGA